GGAAGGGCCAUAGCUCAGUGGCAAAGCGUCAGCUUUGUAUGUCAAAGGUCCCAGGUUCAAUCCCUGAGGUCUCCA